UUCAAUUAAUUGUUCAUUCUCUCUUCUUGCUUCAGUUACUCUGUGAUGUAAGGCUUCAAGCCUGGAAGAAGACUCAAAGGAAGGAGGGUCCUACACAGCUUCUCAAAUGCUGUUGGAGAACGCCUCAGCUGAUGAGCUGGAAGAUACGUCAUCAGUCUUUGAAAGGUUGACCGGAUUCAGAGGACUUUGCUCUUCUUGUAAUUGCUCAUCCAUCUUUCCACCAAGAAUCUGGGAAGAAAACGAAGGGACAAAGUCCAUGGCUUUUCUUCAGACGGUAUGACUUCUAGGUGAUAGAAGCAGAUUGUACUCAUUGCAAUUAAUUGAUCUUUCACAGAACUGAUGGACAUUGUACUUGUUUACAUUUAAAGGCUCUUCUGGAGUGUUACUAGAUAACAGGGAUUACUGCAUAUAUAUUUAAGGCAUUGCCUUACAUGUGAUAUGGGACUCUCUCCCAGAAAACCUAUGUGAUACUACCUUUUUCUUCUUCCUUCAAAUGCCAGCUUAGAACAUCUUUCCUAAUAAAACCUGUUAUUACUCUGCCUAUCUGAAACACAUAUAUGAUAGGUGUUGUGAUUAAACAUUUAUCUCACAGUAACUGAUUAAAAUAUAAACGUAUCUGACACACUGAUUAUUUAGAUCCUUUCCAAUCCAGGUGCAGACCACAG